rnacentral:rRNA from 1 species
GACGAACGCUGGCGGCGUGCUUAACACAUGCAAGUCGAACGGAAAGGCCCUGCUUUUGUGGGGUGCUCGAGUGGCGAACGGGUGAGUAACACGUGAGUAACCUGCCCUUGACUUUGGGAUAACUUCAGGAAACUGGGGCUAAUACCGGAUAGGAGCUCCUGCUGCAUGGUGGGGGUUGGAAAGUUUCGGCGGUUGGGGAUGGACUCGCGGCUUAUCAGCUUGUUGGUGGGGUAGUGGCUUACCAAGGCUUUGACGGGUAGCCGGCCUGAGAGGGUGACCGGCCACAUUGGGACUGAGAUACGGCCCAGACUCCUACGGGAGGCAGCAGUGGGGAAUAUUGCACAAUGGGCGGAAGCCUGAUGCAGCAACGCCGCGUGCGGGAUGACGGCCUUCGGGUUGUAAACCGCUUUCGCCUGUGACGAAGCGUGAGUGACGGUAAUGGGUAAAGAAGCACCGGCUAACUACGUGCCAGCAGCCGCGGUGAUACGUAGGGUGCGAGCGUUGUCCGGAUUUAUUGGGAGUAAAGGGCUCGUAGGUGGUUGAUCGCGUCGGAAGUGUAAUCUUGGGGCUUAACCCUGAGCGUGCUUUCGAUACGGGUUGACUUGAGGAAGGUAGGGGAGAAUGGAAUUCCUGGUGGAGCGGUGGAAUGCGCAGAUAUCAGGAGGAACACCAGUGGCGAAGGCGGUUCUCUGGGCCUUUCCUGACGCUGAGGAGCGAAAGCGUGGGGAGCGAACAGGCCUAGAUACCCUGGUAGUCCACGCUGUAAACGGUGGGUACUAGGUGUGGGGUCCAUUCCACGGGUUCCGUGCCGUAGCUAACGCUUUAAGUACCCCGCCUGGGGAGUACGGCCGCAAGGCUAAAACUCAAAGGAAUUGACGGGGCCCCGCACAAGCGGCGGAGCAUGCGGAUUAAUUCGAUGCAACGCGUAGAACCUUACCUGGGUUUGACAUGGAUCGGGAGUGCUCAGAGAUGGGUGUGCCUCUUUUGGGGUCGGUUCACAGGUGGUGCAUGGCUGUCGUCAGCUCGUGUCGUGAGAUGUUGGGUUAAGUCCCGCAACGAGCGCAACCCUUGUUCACUGUUGCCAGCACGUUAUGGUGGGGACUCAGUGGAGACCGCCGGGGUCAACUCGGAGGAAGGUGGGGAUGACGUCAAGUCAUCAUGCCCCUUAUGUCCAGGGCUUCACGCAUGCUACAAUGGCUGGUACAGAGAGUGGCGAGCCUGUGAGGGUGAGCGAAUCUCGGAAAGCCGGUCUCAGUUCGGAUUGGGGUCUGCAACUCGACCUCAUGAAGUCGGAGUCGCUAGUAAUCGCAGAUCAGCAACGCUGCGGUGAAUACGUUCCCGGGGCU